AGUGCUGGGAUUACAGAUGUGAGCCACCAGGCCCGGCCUCUUAAUUACUAAUCAUGAGCCGACACCCGCACUGCCAGGAUCCAAGAUGCAGGGCUGGUGUUGGCAGACACGCUCCGGAAAUUCUUAUUCGAUCUGGAUGUUGAUGAUGGCCUAGCAGCUGUUGGUUACUCCAAAGCUGAUAUCCCCGCACUAGUGAAAGGAACGCUGCCCCAGGAAAGGGUCACCAAGCUUGCACCCUGUCCCCAGUCAGAAGAGGAUCUGGCUGCUCUGUUUGAAGCUUCAAUGAAACUGUAUUAAUUGUCAUUUUAACUGAAAGAAUUACCGCUGGCCAUUGUAGUGCUGAGAGCAAGAGCUGAUCUAGCUAGGGCUUUGUCUUUUCAUCUUUGCGCAUAACUUACCUGUUACCAGUAUAGGUGGGAUAUACAUUUAUCUUGCAGGAAAUUCCCCAAAGCUCAGAGUCCAGUUCCUUCCAUAAAACAGGCUGGACAAAUGACCACUAUGUUAGACCCCCAGGCUCGACUUCAGGGGUCAGUGUUCCUGUCCCAAACCCCACACAGAAUACUCUGCCUCUGUUUCAUGUAGCAAAUGAGCAAAAACUCAGUAUCUAUC
rnacentral:lncRNA from 10 species